GAUGAAGAACGUAGCGAAAUGCGAUAACUAAUGUGAAUUGCAGAAUUCAGUGAAUCAUCGAGUCUUUGAACGCACAUUGCGCCCCCUGGUAUUCCGGGGGGCAUGCCUGUCCGAGCGUCAUUGCUGCCCUCAAGCACGGCUUGUGUGUUGGGCUCCGUCCCCCCGGGGACGGGCCCGAAAGGCAGCGGCGGCACCGAGUCCGGUCCUCGAGCGUAUGGGGCUUUGUCACCCGCUCUGUAGGCCCGGCCGGCGACAGCCGACAACCCAUCAUCCUUUUCAGGUUGACCUCGGAUCAGGUAGGGAUACCCGCUGAACUUAAGCAUAUCAAUAAGCGGAGGA
rnacentral:misc_RNA from 1 species